GGGGGCGUCUGCUAGCUUGGUCUAGGCUCCGUGGCUUGGGCCCACGAGACCUGGGUUCAAAUCCCAGCGCCCCCA
rnacentral:tRNA from 1 species